GGGUUGUGAGGUUAAGCGACUAAGCGUACACGGUGGAUGCCCUUGGCAGUCAGAGGCGAUGAAGGACGUGCUAAUCUGCGAUAAGCGUCGGUAAGGUGAUAUGAACCGUUAUAACCGGCGAUUUCCGAAUGGGGAAACCCAGUGUGUUUCGACACACUAUCAUUAACUGAAUCCAUAGGUUAAUGAGGCGAACCGGGGAACUGAAACAUCUAAGUACCCCGAGGAAAAGAAAUCAACCGAGAUUCCCCCAGUAGCGGCGAGCGAACGGGGAGCAGCCCAGAGCCUGAAUCAGUGUGUGUGUUAGUGGAAGCGUCUGGAAAGGCGCGCGAUACAGGGUGACAGCCCCGUACACAAAAAUGCACAUGCUGUGAGCUCGAUGAGUAGGGCGGGACACGUGGUAUCCUGUCUGAAUAUGGGGGGACCAUCCUCCAAGGCUAAAUACUCCUGACUGACCGAUAGUGAACCAGUACCGUGAGGGAAAGGCGAAAAGAACCCCGGCGAGGGGAGUGAAAAAGAACCUGAAACCGUGUACGUACAAGCAGUGGGAGCACGCUUAGGCGUGUGACUGCGUACCUUUUGUAUAAUGGGUCAGCGACUUAUAUUCUGUAGCAAGGUUAACCGAAUAGGGGAGCCGAAGGGAAACCGAGUCUUAACUGGGCGUUAAGUUGCAGGGUAUAGACCCGAAACCCGGUGAUCUAGCCAUGGGCAGGUUGAAGGUUGGGUAACACUAACUGGAGGACCGAACCGACUAAUGUUGAAAAAUUAGCGGAUGACUUGUGGCUGGGGGUGAAAGGCCAAUCAAACCGGGAGAUAGCUGGUUCUCCCCGAAAGCUAUUUAGGUAGCGCCUCGUGAAUUCAUCUCCGGGGGUAGAGCACUGUUUCGGCAAGGGGGUCAUCCCGACUUACCAACCCGAUGCAAACUGCGAAUACCGGAGAAUGUUAUCACGGGAGACACACGGCGGGUGCUAACGUCCGUCGUGAAGAGGGAAACAACCCAGACCGCCAGCUAAGGUCCCAAAGUCAUGGUUAAGUGGGAAACGAUGUGGGAAGGCCCAGACAGCCAGGAUGUUGGCUUAGAAGCAGCCAUCAUUUAAAGAAAGCGUAAUAGCUCACUGGUCGAGUCGGCCUGCGCGGAAGAUGUAACGGGGCUAAACCAUGCACCGAAGCUGCGGCAGCGACGCUUAUGCGUUGUUGGGUAGGGGAGCGUUCUGUAAGCCUGUGAAGGUGUACUGUGAGGUAUGCUGGAGGUAUCAGAAGUGCGAAUGCUGACAUAAGUAACGAUAAAGCGGGUGAAAAGCCCGCUCGCCGGAAGACCAAGGGUUCCUGUCCAACGUUAAUCGGGGCAGGGUGAGUCGACCCCUAAGGCGAGGCCGAAAGGCGUAGUCGAUGGGAAACAGGUUAAUAUUCCUGUACUUGGUGUUACUGCGAAGGGGGACGGAGAAGGCUAUGUUGGCCGGGCGACGGUUGUCCCGGUUUAAGCGUGUAGGCUGGUUUUCCAGGCAAAUCCGGAAAAUCAAGGCUGAGGCGUGAUGACGAGGCACUACGGUGCUGAAGCAACAAAUGCCCUGCUUCCAGGAAAAGCCUCUAAGCAUCAGGUAACAUCAAAUCGUACCCCAAACCGACACAGGUGGUCAGGUAGAGAAUACCAAGGCGCUUGAGAGAACUCGGGUGAAGGAACUAGGCAAAAUGGUGCCGUAACUUCGGGAGAAGGCACGCUGAUAUGUAGGUGAAGUCCCUCGCGGAUGGAGCUGAAAUCAGUCGAAGAUACCAGCUGGCUGCAACUGUUUAUUAAAAACACAGCACUGUGCAAACACGAAAGUGGACGUAUACGGUGUGACGCCUGCCCGGUGCCGGAAGGUUAAUUGAUGGGGUCAGCGCAAGCGAAGCUCUUGAUCGAAGCCCCGGUAAACGGCGGCCGUAACUAUAACGGUCCUAAGGUAGCGAAAUUCCUUGUCGGGUAAGUUCCGACCUGCACGAAUGGCGUAAUGAUGGCCAGGCUGUCUCCACCCGAGACUCAGUGAAAUUGAACUCGCUGUGAAGAUGCAGUGUACCCGCGGCAAGACGGAAAGACCCCGUGAACCUUUACUAUAGCUUGACACUGAACAUUGAGCCUUGAUGUGUAGGAUAGGUGGGAGGCUUUGAAGUGUGGACGCCAGUCUGCAUGGAGCCGACCUUGAAAUACCACCCUUUAAUGUUUGAUGUUCUAACGUUGACCCGUGAUCCGGGUUGCGGACAGUGUCUGGUGGGUAGUUUGACUGGGGCGGUCUCCUCCUAAAGAGUAACGGAGGAGCACGAAGGUUGGCUAAUCCCUGGUCGGACAUCAGGAGGUUAGUGCAAUGGCAUAAGCCAGCUUGACUGCGAGCGUGACGGCGCGAGCAGGUGCGAAAGCAGGUCAUAGUGAUCCGGUGGUUCUGAAUGGAAGGGCCAUCGCUCAACGGAUAAAAGGUACUCCGGGGAUAACAGGCUGAUACCGCCCAAGAGUUCAUAUCGACGGCGGUGUUUGGCACCUCGAUGUCGGCUCAUCACAUCCUGGGGCUGAAGUAGGUCCCAAGGGUAUGGCUGUUCGCCAUUUAAAGUGGUACGCGAGCUGGGUUUAGAACGUCGUGAGACAGUUCGGUCCCUAUCUGCCGUGGGCGCUGGAGAACUGAGGGGGGCUGCUCCUAGUACGAGAGGACCGGAGUGGACGCAUCACUGGUGUUCGGGUUGUCAUGCCAAUGGCACUGCCCGGUAGCUAAAUGCGGAAGAGAUAAGUGCUGAAAGCAUCUAAGCACGAAACUUGCCCCGAGAUGAGUUCUCCCUGACCCUUUAAGGGUCCUGAAGGAACGUUGAAGACGACGACGUUGAUAGGCCGGGUGUGUAAGCGCAGCGAUGCGUUGAGCUAACCGGUACUAAUGAACCGUGAGGCUUAACCUUACAACGCCGAAGGUGUUU
rnacentral:rRNA from 1 species